UAACCUGCCUCUAAGAUGGGGAUAACCUGUCGAAAGACGGACUGAAUACCGAAUAAGACCACAGUUUCCCUGGAACAGGGUCAAAGGUAGCCUCUACUUGUAAGCUACCACUUAGAGAUGGGCCUGCGUACCAUUAGCUAGUUGGUGGGUAACGGCCUACCAGGCAAAGAUGGUUAGCUGGUCUGAGAGGAUGAUCAGCCACACUGGAACUGAGACACGGUCCAGACUCCUACGGGAGGCAGCAGUGGGGAAUAUUGCGCAAUGGGCGCAAGCCUGACGCAGCAACGCCGCGUGAGUGAUGAAGGCCUUCGGGUCGUAAAGCUCUGUCGGAGGGAACGAAUGCUCUUGGGGUUAACAGCCUCGAGAAGUGACGGUACCCUCAAAGGAAGCACCGGCUAACUCUGUGCCAGCAGCCGCGGUAA
rnacentral:rRNA from 1 species